rnacentral:sRNA from 1 species
GCUGGGCUUGGUGGCACACGCCUGUAAUCCCAGCAACUCAGGAAGCUGAGACAGGAGGAUCACAAGUUCAAAGCCACCUCUUCAAAAGCGAGGCCCUAAACAACUCGGUGAGACCUGUCUCUA